AUUGAACGCUGGCGGCAGGCCUAACACAUGCAAGUCGAGCGAGCGGCGGACGGGUGAGUAAUGUCUGGGAAACUGCCUGAUGGAGGUGGAUAACUACUGGAAACGGUAGCUACUACCGCAUACCAUCAGAUGUGCCCAGAUGGGCUUAGCUAGUAGUUGGGGUAAUGGCUCACCUAGGCUACGAUCCCUAGCUGGUCUGAGAGGAUGACCAGCCACACUGGAACUGAGACACGGUCCAGACUCCUACGGGAGGCAGCAGUGGGGAAUAUUGCACAAUGGGCGAAAGCCUGAUGCAGCCAUGCCGCGUGGGUGAAGAAGGCCUUCGGGUUGUAAAGCACUUUCAGCGGGGAGGCGGUACCCGCAGAAGAAGCACCGGCUAACUCCGUGCCAGCAGCCGCGGUAAUAC
rnacentral:rRNA from 1 species